rnacentral:rRNA from 1 species
GGGUCAGUAGGUUGGUCGUGCCCGGUACGUACUGGUCUCACUGAUUCCUCCUUCCUGAAGAACCGUAAUGCCAUUAAUUUGGUGUUGCGGGGAAACAGGACUGUUACUUUGAAAAAAUUAGAGUGUUUAAAGCAAGCUAACGCUUGAAUACAUUAGCAUGGAAUAAUGAAAUAGGACGAUCGAUCCUAUUUUGUUGGUUUCUAGGAUUGACGUA